UACGUAGGGUGCAAGCGUUGUUCGGAUUUACUGGGCGUAAAGGGUGCGUAGGUGGCGCCGUAAGUCGGGUGUGAAAUUUCGGAGCUUAACUCCGAAACUGCAUUCGAUACUGCGGUGCUUGAGGACUGGAGAGGAGACUGGAAUUCAUGGUGUAGCAGUGAAAUGCGUAGAGAUCAUGAGGAAGACCAGUGGCGAAGGCGGGUCUCUGGACAGUUCCUGACACUGAGGCACGAAGGCCAGGGGAGCAAACGGG
rnacentral:rRNA from 1 species